CGGGCUUUAUACGAUGAUGGACAGAUGCUCAACAGUAACGUAAUCAACCACGUCACCAAAGAGCGCUUGGGUUGAAUUCGUUUCAACAACGAUGGCUGCCGCUGGAGAAUUGAGAUGUGUAGAUUCUGCUAUCAGGUCUGUUCUAGAAGAUAUCGACAUCGAAUUAAUUUUAAAAGAGGAACAGAGUAACGGGAUCAAGGCAUUUGUUGAUAAGAAAUAUGUUUUUGCCGAAGCAACUGAAAUGGCCAUCACGGCGAGGUGGAUAUAGCCAGCGGUCGUUGCCAGAUCCUUUUUUGAAGCCCGGGAUCCUGGCUGCUGAACAACAAGUGGAGGGGCAUGCUAGGCUCCGAUGUUUUUCAAGCCAACGUAAUGGGUAUCGUCGUGGACGAAGUUCAUCUAACUUACAAAUGGUAAGAGAAUCUAACUGUCUGACUUAGUAAAUAACUUCCAAUGUCGUGAUAUGAAUCCCAUGUUGUAAACAUAGUAGGUAUCGUUGUACGUUCGCUAACUCAGACUUGGUACAAUCAUAACGUUAGUGUGAUUGUAGCGAACUAGCUGUUAAAACAUUCUAAUGUAGGUUACUGUUUUAUUUCUAUCAGUGGUCAGGCUGCAAAAGGGCAGACGUCAUUUCGCGACAGCUUCGCCAAGUUGGGGGACCUUAGAUCCUUAGUUAAAGCUGCUAAUUGCAUUACAGGAACUUGUCCACUUCUAAACACUAACCACUCUCCCCCAAAACUGGGAACUGGUUGCCCAUUCAGAUGCAAAUCGUCCAUUCAUUUGGAUGUUGCUUUAUGUACUCAAGCACCAUACCCAUGUUGGUAGUCACUGUACCCCUAUACACCUGUGCUGGCAUUGACCGCUUCUGCUGAUCGGGAAUCCAGAGCCAGGGUUAUGAAACAGCUUCAGAUGGACAAUCCAAUCAUUUUGGCUCUGAAUCCAAACAGAACAAACAUCAGACUGGGUCAAAGUACCUGGCCAUACACUGGAUUGUGAGGGUUGUUAGUACAAAGCUUGACCCAGCAGUUAAGACGGUACUUUAUAAUGGAGUCACUAGUUGUCUGCGGAAAGCUUUGUACUGCCAUUUUGAGGAACACGCCACAUCUGUUGAUCUAGGACAUCUGUGCUGCACUCACUGUCAUUCUGUUUGUUCUUGUGAACCUGAAGGUUGUGGGGAGCUAAUCCCCAAAUAUGAACACUUUCAAGGGGAGGUUUCAUCACACCACAAACACAGAAUAGUCACACCUGAAGGCACACUUUUGAUCAGGGAACUGUUACAAACUUACAGGAGUAGUUUACUUCAGGACCAUACAAACAUACCACUUUACACAGUCGACACAGCCUGCACUGGUUUUGGAGAUGAACUCAUUGAUCGGUUUUAGAACAGUGCACACAGAUAUUUGACCUGGACUUCAUUAUCCAUAAUUUCCCUACAUACAAACUGGAACAUGCAAAAGAGAUACUAUGAAUUAUGCAUGAGGUUUUUGAUGACAUCGAACAGAGUCAAACUAAUUUGUUUGAUGACCGUGUUCAGGUUGACAUGGAUUACACUGUAUCUUAUCAUCCUCAUCAUCAAAGUAACCAAUCAUCACCAAGUAACUUGGAAUCAGGCUUGUCAAUGUUGAAGAUCUCAGACUAGCUUCAAAUUCAGGCUCAAAUUUGUAGCUUCAGGGUCUUGUGCAAAUGCCUUUUUUUUUUACCUCUGUUACAUUAAUAUUUUUGAAUUAAAUUAAAAUGGUUUAUACUUCUCUACUGGUUGGUGAUGUUUCUGCAUUUAAAAGACAAACAAUAAGACAUGUCAAUAAAUAUUUUUAAUAUCUACACAUAAUGGGUAAUGUUUGAAGAUAUACGCUGAACUUUGAACAUACAACCAAUAAGAAAACACACAAAAAUGGUUUCAAGAAUGUGGAU